rnacentral:lncRNA from 1 species
GGGAAACUGUGGUGGAAGCCCUAAGACCAAUGAAGGUGAAGAGAUUCCAGUGCCUGCCCCAGUUGUAGUUGAAGAGGUGUUGAAGGUUCAGGAUAAUAACUCUCUUAUCACUCAGGUAUUAUAUAUCUUUUUUCAUUCAUUUGCAUGGCAUUAUUACACUCCUCCUAUGUUUGCAUGUGAGAUAGAUGUUGAUAACAACUGAACAUUAUUGUACUAAUUAGCAGAAUGGUGAAGCCACCAAGGUGGAAGAAUCCAAGAGUGAGGAAGUGAAGGUUGAAGGAAAGGAAGAAAAGAAAGCAGAGAAAGAGGAUGCAAAGCCUGAAACCAAAGAACAAAAAUAAGAACUAAGUAACAAUGUUCUUAUUUAUACUUCUAAUAUACAAAUCUUGUUAUUUGCAUUAUAUGCUAUAAGAGACUUCAUUAUAAAUCUGCUAUGUUAUACUUCUUCCUUUGUUGCCACAAUCAAGUGUUUUUAUAAACGCCAAUAACCACACAUAUAAGCCUAAAACAUUCACCAGACUCGUUAAAUACACAUUUCUUAACCA